CUGUUUGGAUACUUAAUGAACAACUCUAAUGCUGACUGAAUAGCAUUAAUAAAAAUGUCAUUGCCAAUAUAUGACAGAUGUACGCCAUCAUCAGCGAAAAGAGUUGGAUGGAUAUCAUCAAAAUCAGUAUGUUUAAUAGCCUUGCCCCCAACUUUGUGUAGGUAAGAUCUAACACCCCUAUUUACACGGGCUCUAGACCGUUCUAUUGCCUUUUUAUUCAUGGCAUUCCUCCAAAUUCGCCUUGGCAAAAUGUAUGACCAAAUAACAGUUGUGUUUGGUAACGAUGACAUUAACUGACGUAAAGUGUCCUUAAUAUUAUAUAAAAGUUUACCAUUUUGAAUGUUACAUAAAUCAUUACCACCGCAAUGAAUAAG
rnacentral:lncRNA from 1 species